UACGUAGGGGGGCUAGCGUUGUCCGGAUUUAUUGGGCGUAAAGAGCGUGUAGGCGGCCAGGUAGGUCUGCUGUGAAAACUCGAGGCUCAACCUCGAGACGUCGGCGGAAACCAUCUGGCUAGAGUCCGGAAGAGGAGAGUGGAAUUCCUGGUGUAGCGGUGAAAUGCGCAGAUAUCAGGAAGAACACCAAUGGCGAAGGCAGCUCUCUGGGACGGUACUGACGCUGAGACGCGAAAAGCGUGGGGAGCAAACAGG
rnacentral:rRNA from 1 species